GUGAGUAACACGUGAACAACCUGCCCCGAAGUCCGGGAUAACCCGGGGAAACCCGAGCUAAUACCGGAUACCCCCUACUGAUCGCAUGGUCGGUAGAGGAAAGAUUUAUCGCUUCGGGAGGGGUUCGCGGCCUAUCAGCUAGUUGGCGGGGUAAUGGCCCACCAAGGCAACGACGGGUAGCUGGUCUGAGAGGAUGGUCAGCCACACUGGGACUGAGACACGGCCCAGACUCC
rnacentral:rRNA from 1 species